rnacentral:rRNA from 1 species
CAGCAGCCACGGGAAUACAGAGGGUGCAAGCGUUAAUCGGAAUUACUGGGCGUAAAGCGCGCGUAGGUGGUUUGUUAAGUUGGAUGUGAAAUCCCCGGGCUCAACCUGGGAACUGCAUCCAAAACUGGCAAGCUAGAGUAUGGUAGAGGGUGGUGGAAUUUCCUGUGUAGCGGUGAAAUGCGUAGAUAUAGGAAGGAACACCAGUGGCGAAGGCGACCACCUGGACUGAUACUGACACUGAGGUGCGAAAGCGUGGGGAGCAAACAGGAUUAGAUACCCCAGUAGUCCCUGUCUCUUAUAA